AUGCUACAAAAGGGUUCUUUGAGAAGUUUCAUAGAUGAACCACGUUUGGUUCCAGAAAGGGCCAGGAUUGUACACUCUUAAAAGUAAUAGACAAGUUACUCCAUAGGAAAACCACUUUUGUGGUAUGAAGAACCUUUUUACGAAUUUCAGAACUUUUAAAAAAGUUAACCCAUUUAAAGGUUCUUUACACCACUCUCAAAAAAUGGAAAUCAAAAUGUUUCGUCUGUGGUUCUACACAAAGAUGCUUUUAUAGAAUCUUUACUUUUAAAUGUGUGUAUGAAGAACCUCUAAAAAGUAAGAUGUUGUUAUAAAGGUGAUUUAAUCAUUUAAAUAAAAAAAGUGAUUCCUUCCUUAUUUUUUAGACAAAUGCACAAAUUUCUGCAUUUCUGAACGCAGAAGUUCUUUUACAGCAUGGUCAGAGUGUACAAAUGUAAAGGAGUGUAAAACAGGUCUGAAGAACCCUUUUUUUUUUUUUUUUUUUUUUUUUGCAGAUGGUCUACAAACCUUUUAGAAACUCUUCAGUGUAGAUCCAAAAGUGGUUUCCUAUGGCAGGUUAAGGGUGUGCAACAGAUAUGCGAUCUGAGAAACCUCAACUUGCCCCACAAAGAUCCUUUAAUAAUUUAAAGGUCCUUCAGUCUCAUACCAAAAGAACUUUACCUUUGUGUUCUUCACAGACUAGACCAGUAUAAAAGAGAUGUAUGCAUAUGAAGAACCUUAUCAGAAGGCUUGAGGAGCCUUUACAUGAUCUAGAGGUUCCAUACCUUCAGUUAAACCUUCAGUUGAUCCAAAGGUUCUCUACCAAUUUAACGGUUCUUCAGUCACACGUCUCUUUCGGUCAUUCAUGGAACCCAAAGAGGUUUUUUAAUCAUGUGAAGAGUGUAAAAGAUAUGAGUGAGUAUGAAGAACCUGAUCAGAAGGCCUGAGGAACAUUUAGUCAGUCUCUCAUCAGAUCAAUUUCUAAACCAAAUUAAAGGUUCUUUAGCUACACAUCCAUUUUUAUUUAUUAAGGAACCUGGACAUGGUUCCUCUAUGACAAGAUAUCAAUGUAAAAAAGAAGUGUCUGUGUAAAGAACCUUUUUUUUUAGGAAGUUUGAAAAACUUUUAUUUUGGAUUAAUUAAGAACCCAACAUGUUAAGAGUGUAAAAGAGAUGUGUGGGUGUGAAGAAUGUUAUAAAAAAAGGCCUGAGAAAUCUUUAGCUUUAUCAAAGGUUCUCUACCAAUUUAAAGGUUCUUCAGUUAAACAUUUUUUUUCUUUUGGUUCUUUUAGAAACCAGAAGUGGUUCUUCUAUGACCGGUUAGCAGUAUGAAUUGUGCAGAACCUUUUAGCAGGCCACAAAAACUUUUACUUGAUGCAAAGGUUUUCCCGAUACACAUCUCUUCUGUUUCUUUCUGGAACAAAACCUGUUUCUUCUAUGGCGUUUCCUAAAGAACCCCUUGUAGCAUCUUCAUUUUUAAGAGUGUGCAGUAGAUGUUCUGCUGUUCUGCAGCGUUUUGAUCCAAUUAUGUUCUUUACACACACACACACACACACACACACGAAGCUGCUGAGCAGUUUGUGUUGUAAUCCGUUGCAGAUUUUGGUAGAACGCUGCUUCUGGGGUUCUGUAAGGCUGUGGUUAGAACAGUAGACCUGCUGUCUGACGAAAACAUGACUGUAUGAUAAUAAUCUAUAACUGUAAUUAUAACCAGCACCUGAAUGUUUAUAAAUGGCAUGAAAUUGU